GACGAACGCUGGCGGCGUGCUUAACACAUGCAAGUCGAGCGGUAAGGCCCUUCGGGGUACACGAGCGGCGAACGGGUGAGUAACACGUGGGUGACCUGCCCUUAGCUCUGGGAUAAGCCUGGGAAACUGGGUCUAAUACCGGAUAUGACCUCACGGCGCAUGUUGUGGGGUGGAAAGCCUUGUGCGGCUAGGGAUGGGCCCGCGGCCUAUCAGCUUGUUGGUGGGGUGAUGGCCUACCAAGGCGACGACGGGUAGCCGGCCUGAGAGGGCGACCGGCCACACUGGGACUGAGACACGGCCCAGACUCCUACGGGAGGCAGCAGUGGGGAAUCUUGCGCAAUGGGCGAAAGCCUGACGCAGCGACGCCGCGUGAGGGAUGACGGCCUUCGGGUUGUAAACCUCUUUCAGCCCUGACGAAGCGAAAGUGACGGUAGGGGCAGAAGAAGCACCGGCCAACUACGUGC
rnacentral:rRNA from 1 species